rnacentral:rRNA from 1 species
UACGAAGGGGGCUAGCGUUGCUCGGAAUCACUGGGCGUAAAGCGCACGUAGGCGGAUUGUUAAGUCAGGGGUGAAAUCCUGGAGCUCAACUCCAGAACUGCCUUUGAUACUGGCGAUCUCGAGUCCGGGAGAGGUGAGUGGAACUGCGAGUGUAGAGGUGAAAUUCGUAGAUAUUCGCAAGAACACCAGUGGCGAAGGCGGCUCACUGGCCCGGUACUGACGCUGAGGAGCGAAAGCGUGGGGAGCGAACAGG